rnacentral:rRNA from 1 species
AGAGUUUGAUCCUGGCUCAGGACGAACGCUGGCGGCGUGCUUAACACAUGCAAGUCGAACGAGGCCCCGCCUUCGGGUGGGUGUUCUAGUGGCGAACGGGUGAGUAACACGUGGGCAACCUGCCCCCGGCUCUGGGAUAACUCCAAGAAAUUGGGGCUAAUACCGGAUAUGACCGCUGAUCGCAUGGUCUGGUGGUGGAAAGUUUUUCGGCUGGGGAUGGGCCCGCGGCCUAUCAGCUUGUUGGUGGGGUAGUGGCCUACCAAGGCGACGACGGGUAGCCGGCCUGAGAGGGUGACCGGCCACACUGGGACUGAGACACGGCCCAGACUCCUACGGGAGGCAGCAGUGGGGAAUAUUGCGCAAUGGGCGGAAGCCUGACGCAGCGACGCCGCGUGGGGGAUGACGGCCUUCGGGUUGUAAACCUCUUUCAGCAGGGACGAAGCGGAAGUGACGGUACCUGCAGAAGAAGCACCGGCCAACUACGUGCCAGCAGCCGCGGUAAUACGUAGGGUGCAAGCGUUGUCCGGAAUUAUUGGGGCGUAAAGAGCUCGUAGGCGGUUCGUCGCGUCGGCUGUGAAAACCCGGAGCUCAACUCCGGGCCUGCAGUCGAUACGGGCGGACUUGAGUGUUGCAGGGGAGACUGGAAUUCCUGGUGUAGCGGUGAAAUGCGCAGAUAUCAGGAGGAACACCGGUGGCGAAGGCGGGUCUCUGGGCAACUACUGACGCUGAGGAGCGAAAGCGUGGGGAGCGAACAGGAUUAGAUACCCUAGUAGUCC